rnacentral:rRNA from 1 species
AAGUGGGGAUGACGUCAAGUCCUCAUGGCCUUAUGCCAGGGCUACACACGUGCUACAAUGGGCGGUACAAAGAGAAGCAACCUCGCGAGGGUGAGCAAAUCUCAAAAAGCCGUUCUCAGUUCGGAUUGAAGUCUGCAACUCGACUUCAUGAAGUCGGAAUCGCUAGUAAUCGCGGAUCAGCAUGCCGCGGUGAAUACGUUCCCGGGCCUU